UACGGAGGGUGCGAGCGUUGUCCGGAAUCAUUGGGCGUAAAGGGCGCGUAGGUGGCACGCCAAGCGUGCGGUGAAAGCUCGGGGGCUCAACCCCCGAGUCGGCCGUGCGAACUGGGGUGCUGGAGCACUGUAGAGGCAGGUGGAAUUCCGGGUGUAGCGGUGGAAUGCGUAGAGAUCCGGAGGAAGACCGGUGGCGAAGGCGGGUCUCUGGACAGUUCCUGACGCUGAGGAGCGAAAGCGUGGGGAGCAAACAGG
rnacentral:rRNA from 1 species